rnacentral:rRNA from 1 species
UACGUAGGGGGCAAGCGUUGUCCGGAUUCAUUGGGCGUAAAGAGCGUGUAGGCGGUGAGACACGUUCGUUGUGAAAUCGCCCGGCUCAACUGGGCGGGGUCAGCGGAUACGGUCUCACUUGAGCAAGCUAGGGGGCAAUGGAAUUCCCGGUGUAGUGGUGGAAUGCGUAGAUAUCGGGAGGAACACCUAUGGCGAAGGCAGCUCGCUGGGACGUUACUGACGCUGAGACGCGAAAGCGUGGGGAGCAAACAGG